GAAAAUAUUGUUCAUGUCCUGUGCAUUCCAGUGCGCAAUCAUAUUCAUUUUCAAGUUUACACUACUGGGCGUGUUCUACCGCUUUUACGAAGAACUCCGGGCAAGGCCGACGCAGAAGAACGUCGUCCACCGCGUAGAGGCCGGAGACGCCGACUCUCAAGAUUUCACCCACAAGACGACUUGACCAUCACGUCGAUAUUUUUUUUCCUUUGUAUCUUUUUUUU
rnacentral:lncRNA from 1 species